AGUACUCAAAAAUUUUAAACAACCAGGCUUUGUUUGGUUCGGGUAUAUAAAUAAGAAUUAGUCAUUACUGGAAUAGGUACAAAUAUGUGGAUAAGAAAAAUAGCGUUUGAAUGAAAAUUGUGUUGUUUCUGGGGAUAAGAAAAAUAGCGUUUUGAUAGAUAAUAUGAAAUAAAAAAAUUAGUAGGUUUAUUUUCUUUUUUUUUUGAGAGAGAAAGGUAGCAUUCUACCCGCUUCGUUUAUUUCAUUUAGAAAUAAACUUAACUGAAAAUGAGAAUCAACUAGGAUUCGAAUUUGGAUCUCGGAUACCAACCACCAAGCCCUUUUGCCACUUGCGGUAGGAACGGUCGGUAAAAUAGUGGAUAGUUAUAUAUAGAAAAUGGAGAUGUUGGUGGGGAUAGUUAUACCAGCUUAUUUCAGAUAUCCGAGAACUAUUAUUCUUAAAUAAAAAAUUUACGUUUGGCUAUAAAGAAGAAAUAAGGGGUUAUCCCUUUUCUUAUCCCUAAUCUAAACGGUGCCUCAGAGUAUUUUGUGCUUGCUUUUGAAUCUCAGUUUUCGCUUUCGCACUAAAGAAAUUUUUUGUUACGUGAAAUACAAAGAAAAACAAGCCCAACAAACAAAGUUCAGAAAAAUAUUUCAACUUUUCGCUGCACUAAGGCUGCGUUUGGUUGGAGAACUAAAUUUUGGAGAACAACUUUUGUUGUUCCCGAGAACAGGAAAUAUUCCGGUACAAGAUAGAAUAAUUGUAAAUUUGUGUUUGGAUGCAUUCGAGGAUAUUCUAGAGGAUAUCCUUAAUAGCGUUUGGAUAAAAAGUCUAGAACAACGUCUAAAUAUAUUUUUAAAAAUAAAAUAAUUAAUUUAUAUUAGUAUAUUUUAUAUAAAAUUAUUUAUAAAAUUAUUUCAUAUAGUAAUUUAUAAUAUAAUAUUUUAUGUAAGAAUCUAAUUUAAAAUAAUAUAUAUUAUUUUAUUAUAUAUAAUAAUUUAUUUUAUGUAAUAAUUUAUUUUCUAUAAUUUAUUCAUAAUAUAUUAAUGAAUAAAGUAUAAUACUAACAAUAUCCCUAUAUUUUUAAUUAAUAAUUAGUAUAAAUUUUAAUACAAAUAAAAAAUAUAUAUAUAAUUAAAUAUUAAAGUAUAAAUGAUAGAGUUUAAUAAAAUAAAAAAUAUAUCAAAUUUAAUUAAUUUAUAUUAUAUAAUAAAAUUUAAGUAUAAAUAUAUUAUCAUAAAAAUUUAAGUAUAAAUUUCAAUACAAUUUAUAUAUAUAUAUAUAUAUAUAUAUAUAUAUGAUAAAAUGAUUUUAUGUAUAUAAUACUUAAUAUAAAAUAAAAUAAUUAAAUAUUAAUAUAUAAAUGAUAAAACUUAAUAAAAUAAAAUACAUAUCAAAUUUAAUUAAUUUAUAUUAUAUAAUAAAAUUUAAGUAUAAAUAUAUUAUCAUAAAAAUUUAAGUAUAAAUUUCAAUACAAGUUAAAAUAUAUAUAUAAUAUAUGAAAAAAUAAUUUUAUGUAUAUAAUAAUUAAUAUAAAAUAAAAUAAUUAAAUAUUAAUAUAUAAAUGAUAAAACUUAAUAAAAUAAAAUAUAUAUCAAAUUUAAUUAAUUUAUAUUAUAUAAUAAAAUUUAAGUAUAAAUAUAUUAUCAUAAAAAUAAUAUUUAUAUUAAUAUAUUUAUUUAUUAAAUUUGAGCAUUCAUUUAAUUUAUUUGAAAUUAAUUAAAAUAAAGUAUAAAAAAUUAAAAGGCCAGAAAAAAAAAAAAAAAAAAAAAAAAAAAAAAGCCCAAAUCUCUUGUCCAGCUUGUUUUAGGGAGAACAAGCUUACCGGAUUGUUCCCGGCUUAACGGGUUGUUCCGGGAACAACCCGGUUGUUCCAAAAUGCAUUGUGUUUGGAGGGAUAUCCCGCCUUGUUCUGGGAUAUCCCUCCAACCAAACGCAGCCUAAAGUUUUAAACUUUUUAUUUUAUAUUCGAUAUUCUCAUCAGUAAAAGAAAAUGUUAUUUUAAUGCUAGACCUCAUAGUCAGUCAACUUGUCCAAGUUGCAAACAAGUUAAAUUUACGUUCUUUUUCCUUUAUCAGUUUAAUUUUAGGUAAAAAAAUAUGCAGAAUUUAUCCGAGCUAUGGAUUACUUUGAAUUAGUUAUUCAAUCUUUCAAAAUUUUAAUUUUGUAUCCAAUCUUUCAAUUUGUUUGAUUUGAGUCAAUUAACGGUAUUCUGACUUCAAAUUUCAUUCAUAUUUAGUUAGUAUAAUUUAUGUAAUUUGUACAACUAUUUUUUUUGUUAAAGUAAAGUUUAAAUUUUGAGCCCAAGAACUGUUAACUAAUUUAAAUUAAACAAAUUGAAAGAUUAGAUAGUAAAAUUAAAAUUU
rnacentral:lncRNA from 1 species